CGCUGGCGGCGUGCUUAACACAUGCAAGUCGAGCGGUAAGGCCCUUCGGGGUACACGAGCGGCGAACGGGUGAGUAACACGUGAGCAACCUGCCCCUGACUCCGGGAUAAGCGGUGGAAACGCCGUCUAAUACCGGAUACGACCUGUCACCUCAUGGUGGCGGGUGGAAAGUUUUUCGGUCGGGGAUGGGCUCGCGGCCUAUCAGCUAGUUGGUGGGGUAAAGGCCUACCAAGGCGAUUACGGGUAGCCGGCCUGAGAGGGCGACCGGCCACACUGGGACUGAGACACGGCCCAGACUCCUGCGGGAGGCAGCAGUGGGGAAUAUUGCGCAAUGGGCGAAAGCCUGACGCAGCGACGCCGCGUGGGGGAUGACGGCCUUCGGGUUGCAAACCUCUUUUACCACCAACGCAGGCUCCCAGUUCUCUGGGGGUUGACGGUAGGUGGGGAAUAAGGACCGGCUAACUACGUGCCAGCAGCCGCGGUAAUACGUAGGGUCCGAGCGUUGUCCGGAAUUAUUGGGCGUAAAGAGCUCGUAGGCGGCGUGUCGCGUCUGCUGUGAAAGACCGGGGCUUAACUCCGGUUCUGCAGUGGAUACGGGCAUGCUAGAGGUAGGUAGGGGAGACUGGAAUUCCUGGUGUAGCGGUGAAAUGCGCAGAUAUCAGGAGGAACACCGGUGGCGAAGGCGGGUCUCUGGGCCUUACCUGACGCUGAGGAGCGAAAGCAUGGGGAGCGAACAGGAUUAGAUACCCUGGUAGUCCAUGCCGUAAACGUUGGGCGCUAGGUGUGGGGACUUUCCACGGUUUCCGCGCCGUAGCUAACGCAUUAAGCGCCCCGCCUGGGGAGUACGGCCGCAAGGCUAAAACUCAAAGGAAUUGACGGGGGCCCGCACAAGCGGCGGAGCAUGUUGCUUAAUUCGACGCAACGCGAAGAACCUUACCAAGGUUUGACAUCACCCGUGGACCUGCAGAGAUGUGGGGUCAUUUAGUUGGUGGGUGACAGGUGGUGCAUGGCUGUCGUCAGCUCGUGUCGUGAGAUGUUGGGUUAAGUCCCGCAACGAGCGCAACCCUUAUUCCAUGUUGCCAGCACGUAGUGGUGGGGACUCAUGGGAGACUGCCGGGGUCAACUCGGAGGAAGGUGGGGACGACGUCAAGUCAUCAUGCCCCUUAUGUCUUGGGCUGCAAACAUGCUACAAUGGCCGGUACAAUGGGCGUGCGAUACCGUAAGGUGGAGCGAAUCCCUAAAAGCCGGUCUCAGUUCGGAUUGGGGUCUGCAACUCGACCCCAUGAAGGUGGAGUCGCUAGUAAU
rnacentral:rRNA from 1 species